GGGCCCGUAGCUCAGCCUGGAUAGAGCGGCAGUCAAUUCUCGGCCGAUCCCCCUAUGCCUUGGAGCGGGUUGAGCUGUAGGUCCGGGGUUCGAAUCCCCGCGGGCCCG
rnacentral:tRNA from 1 species